GGUUCUUUAGCUUUCAGUCUUGGACACAGACAGCGCUGUGGCUGCUUCUCAGCCUGCAGCUGCUGGAUGUCCUGCUGAGGCAGCCAGGGGGGUCGCCUUUCCCAGCAUCCAACCUGCUUGUCAGCAGUGGCAUUGUUCCCAGAAAAAACCUAGCACAGCACCAUUGCUGUGGGCCUCGGCAAACACAGGCUGUCAUAAAAGAAGAGAUAAAGCAUGGAACCUUCCUGGUAACAUCCACACAAUCACACCGGACGCUCCGAGGACUUUGACCACUGCAAGGCCGGACACACUUGGACCACGGAUGGUUGCUCAGAUCUCCCUACCAGACCCCUUGCCUGAUCUUCCCACUUGAAUCCCCUUGUUCAAGCCCUGUAAAGGGCUCUGCUUUUCUUUGCUCAGCACUGAUGGCCUUUUUGUCCUCUGUCUGCCUGCCCCCAGGCACAGUAAAUUCUGUGCCAUGUUGCCUUGACACAAGCUGGGGGUCUCUGGUGGCCUCUGCCUUGUGCUGUUCCUUACAGGAGCCUCUUAAAUCACGUGGAAAACAAAAAGUAGGAUUAUAAGCCAUCGUUGCAGUAACUUUGAUUGUUGCACUGUUAUAAAAUCUUUUAUAAUUGCCCCUGCAUUUAUGUUUCUUGAAAUCUUUAUUGCUUCACAAGCUUUGAAUUACUGCCUGGAGUUCUUUCAUUUCAACCUGCAGGUAGAUCUUCCAUGAGGAUUUCUUCUUCUUUCUUUUUUUGUCUUUUUGAGACAAGGUUUCACUAUGCACUUCAGGCCAGGCUUGAGCUCCCUUUGUAGCCUAGGCUGGUCUCAAGCUUGCAAUGAUCCUCCUGCCUCAGCUUCCCAGCCUCCUGAGUGCUGGGAUUACAGGCAUGCACCACCACAGCUGUCUGUAAGGAUUUCCUCUAGGUGGGUCUAACUGUAACAAACUCAGUUUCUCUGGGAAUGGCAAAUGACCCCUCCAUGUGUGU
rnacentral:lncRNA from 1 species